AAGUCACACAGGUAAGUAAAUGACAGGGCCUAGAUUCACACCGAGGCAGUAUGGCUCCAGAAGUUUUUGGUAGGCUUCGACAGUGUCUGCCACUGUCUCACAGUGAGUUUGUGGCAGUGUCACAACUAGAACCCACUACCCAACCUUCUUUCAAUAAUCGUUAUCACCUCUGAACACUUGAACCAGACUCACCAUGACUAGCAUCUGACUGAUUACCCUUCUACCCAGACUUGUCCAAUAUCAUAUUCUCCUAUGUACUAACCAUUUUCUCCUAAAGGUGUGUGAUAUGGUUUGACUGAGAACUGUGAGUGCAUUAAACCCCCCUUUUAAAAAAAUAUUAAUUAUCCAGUCUUGUGUAUUUCUUCAUAGCAGUAUGAAAAGGGACUAAUACAGUAUGCUACAAUUUUCUUCAAAAUGUAUUCGUCUUUGACGCCUACCUUGUUUGUUCUCUACAAUGAUUCACUCUCCAAAUCUUAUUUAAUCCCUUGAUUAAAAAUCUCUUUUCAGAUUGGAAGACCAAAUAAUAAUAUUAAUUACUCAGUCUUAAUAUUGUUAAGGUAGCAGUUCUCUCUAAAUUAAUAUGUAGAUUUAAUCCAAAUAAAAAUCUAAGCAGGUUUUUUUUUGUUGUAGAAAUUGACAAACUGAUUCUAAAACUUAGAUGGAAAUGCAGAGGACCUAGAAUAGCCCAAGCAAUCUGAAAUGAAAGAACAAAAUUGGUGGACUUAAAUUACCUGACUUCAAGGCAUAUUAUAAUACUAUGAUAAUCAAGACAAUGUAUUAUUGGUAUCAAGGUAGACAAAUAGAUCAAUGGAACUGAAUAAAGAGUUCAGAAAUAGACCUACACGUAACACAUAUGGUCAACUGAUUUUUGACAAAGGUAUAAAGGCGAUUCAGCCUCCCAAAGCGCCGUGAUUACAGGCAUAAGCCACUAUGCCCAGCCUAGG
rnacentral:lncRNA from 10 species